rnacentral:tRNA from 1 species
GCCCACAUAGCUCAGAAGGUAGAGCGUCGCCUUGGUAAGGCGGAGGUCACCGGUUCAAUCCCGGUUGUGGGCUCCA